UAAAUAAAUGUUUUUGUUAUGUAUCGGGAAUUGUUAUUGAGACUACAAAGGAAGUCGUCACACCUUCGUAUGUAUUUCAUGAAAAGCAAUAAAGUUCCAUUGCAUUCCAAAUUACUAAACCUUAAUGGUUAACAAAGAAUUUUGGGUUUUUUUGGAAGUGUUUUUAAAAUAAUUGGAAAGCAAUAAAGUUCCAUUGCAUUCCAAAUUACUAAACCUUAAUGGUUAACAAAGAAUUUUGGGUUUUUUUGGAAGUGUUUUUAAAAUAAUUAAAAACGCUUUAAGAGAAUAGUGCUUCUUUCAGGAAGCAUUUUAAGUGUUUUUCCAAGAUUUACUUGCGUUUUACUAAGAAUUAGUUCCAAAAGCAUUUUUACCAAAAACGAUUUCAAUCAUUUUAAAAGCAUUUUGAAAAGAAGUUAUGAAUUAAUUAACUCCAAUGAUUCUGACAAGUAAUUGAUGAUGUGGAAUUGU
rnacentral:lncRNA from 1 species